rnacentral:tmRNA from 1 species
GGGGAUGAUCGGUUUCGACGGUCGGUAGUAUCUUGAGGGAAGCGGGUCGAGGAAGUAUUCUCAUCUCGUUAACGCGGAUACAAAACCAAUAAGUGCCAAACAGAAUCGCACUGAAUCCUUCGCUCUGGCUGCAUAAUCCCAGAGGAACUGAUUCCGUCAGCCUGUGCACGCUUCGGGCAUAGUAACUGGCGUCGUUCACGAAGCCACUGGAACCACCUGGGUUACUUAGGUUCGGUUCGACACUUAAGGUAACUUUGGUCUGUGCUAGCCCUGUUUGCGGGUCGGCCCGGGCCGAGAAUUCAAGGCAAACUGCACCCGGAGAAGACUCAAGUAUUCCCGAUCGGACCGGGGUUCGAUUCCCCGCAUCUCCACU